rnacentral:rRNA from 1 species
ACGUCAAAUCAUCAUGCCCCUUACGACCUGGGCCACACACGUAAUACAAUGGCCAUUAACAGCGUGAAGCAAAACCGCGAGGUGGAGCGAAACACAAAAAUGGUCCCAGUUCGGAUCGCAGGCUGCAACCCGCCUGCGUGAAGUUGGAAUUGCUAGUAAUCGCGGAUCAGCAUGCCGCGGUGAAUACGUUCCCGGGCCUU